CCAAGAGAUCAUGACCUGAGCCAAAACCAAGAGUCGGACGCUUAACCGACUGAGCCACCCAGGUGCCCCAGAAAGCUGCUAUUCAAAAGCUGCAUCAGUGCUGUUGUUUUGAGCAGGGUUUCUGAGGAUGACUCAAGAUGGCUCUGUGCCCCUCCCCUUUGAAGUGCCCUAGGGUCCCCUGAGUUUCUUCCCAAAGGCCACCUGCUGCCUGGAGUCAUGGUUCCCACUGUUGGGACACACGAGUGGGAAUCUUGCUGGGCAGUCCCACUGCAGGCACUGAGGCUGGUGUCUCUAAUUUAUCAUCGGUUGCCAUCUGAGAGGGAUAGCCAGAUAGCCAGGGAUAGAAGGCUGGCUGGCUGCUCGAGGAAGGCCUGGGCAUGACUUGACCUGCACGCGGACACCAUGUUCCCAAGGUGGCCUUCAGCCCUGUAAGUCCAGAAACAUGCGGGGGCUCCAGGGCACUCCACCUACUUCCACUAAAGAAGCUCACCACAGACCACUGUUUAUACUCCAUGCCAACUCUCGUUGAUGAUGGAAGCCAUCCCCCCAGUACCCCAUCCCUGGAGACCCCGUUCCCAGUGUCACGAUGCGUGCGAAGCUGAAACUGUUGUUAAGAGAUUGCUUGGUGAGUAGGAUUUGGAACCAGAGUAGGGCGACUCUCAAGAAGGUCAUCAUUCAGGCCCUGGAAAAGAUCGGAGGACUGUGUUGGUCCCAUUCUUGAGCCUACCUCUCCAAGGGUGAGAAUAUCCAUAUGUCCCAGAUCUUUGUCUUCUGCUCAGGAUGAAGCUGGACCCGUUCUGUGAAUUUCCACUUUCUGUCUCCGCCCAUGCCUACUUUGCAUAGGCUUUGGACACCAUAAUAACAAUCAAGGUGGUUUGGGUUUAAGCCUGUGUGAUAGGAAUCCCUUAUUUUCAUGAGUGUUUUUUCACACUCAGGGUUUAGGGGACACUUUCCUGUUACCCUUAUACCACCUGUCCUACCUUCUGCCAGAAAUAGGCUUAGUGAUAAAAUACCCAACUGCAUGUGUGAAUGAACAGCAACAUAAAGAUCAGAAACUACAUGGAUACAGGGGAGAACAUUGUACCUGUCACCUAGUCAAGAGUGUGACUAGAAUGAUUUUUAAGCUUCCUGGAAGACCAGACACAGAAGAGAAUAAAUGGAGAAUAAAUAAAUGGUUUGAUUUGAAUAAUGGUUGACUCACACUUCAGAAAUUUUAAAGGGCCAUCAGGAAUUUACUAGGUAAGCACAAAGGAUCUGGUUGUUCCUGCAGAGUUGAAUUAGCAAACAUUUUCGCUUUAAACACUUUAUUAGUAAAAAGAAGCUAACUCUGGGGCGCCUGGGUGGCUCAGUUGGUUAAAUGUCCAACUCUGGCUCAAAGUCAUGAUUUCAGGGCUCAUGAGUUCGAGCCCUGCAUCAGGCUGUCUCCUAUCGGUCCAGAACCCACUUUGGAUCUUCUACCUCCCUCUCUCUCUCUGCCCCUCCCCCCUUUCUCUCUCUCUCAUAAUUAAACAUUAAAAAAAAAAAAAAGCUAAUUCUCAUUCAGGAUGAAAGAGCCUCAGAAACACAGAGUCUACUUUUACGAGUGAUCUUUCCCUACACAAGGCCACCAGCAUGCAAAGUUUCCACAGCUUAAUUUAACAAACAUUUAGUAAGCAUCUAUUGUGUGCCAGACAAUGUUAGGUUCUGAGGAUACAAAAUUGUAUAAAAUAUGAUGCCAUCCUUCAAGGAACUUACAGUCUAAUUGGGAAAAGGGACAAAGAAGUGAAAAAUAGCUCUGUGGUUGCACCCAGAUGAACACCAGGGACUGAGGGAGCCCUUGGGCCACAGAGGGGCUCCAGGAAGUCUGCCUGGAGGAGGUAACCCCUGAGCCAAGCCUUGAAAAAUGAUUUCGGGUCUGGUCUGAUCGUCCAAAUGGAAUAUGUGUGACACUGAAGCUGGAGUUAGGAGCCCGGGAUCUGACUUUCAUCUAACUAACUUGCUGUGUGACCUUGUGAAAGUCAUAUUCCCUCUCUGGGAAUCACUGAAUUCUCAGGGUAAAUGUGGGAGAGAAGGUCACUAGCAUUCCGCAGUAAGAUGGGGCGUGAGAAAUUCAUCCACUGGAAAGAAAGACAAAACUCUUUAGAAUACAUGAUUCAAAUAAAUGGGAAAUAAAUGUGAUCGGUCAGGUACUUAGGCUGAAAGCGCCAGCUAAACCCCAGUAACACACCAGUGGAAAGUCAGCGCAGAAAACCAGUACUUUGGCAGAUUGAAAAAAACACUUCAGUCUUUCUCAAGAAACAGAAGUUUCCUCUGAGGAAUCUAAAGAGAAGCCUGCAAAGCCUGCAGUUAGGAACCCAAGCAGCCUUCAAUCCAGGGGCCGGGCCGCGCAGAAACCCGGAGCUCUAAUGGAAGGGGCAGGCCCGGCGCGGCGGCGGCAGCCAAUGAGAGAGCUUCCCGAUGAGGUCAUGGAGUUCCUCGGCGCUUCAUUGGAGGACCCCCCGCGAGGCUUUGGCGCCGACUGCCCCGCAGGACGGCGGGUAGCAGCCGCAGGCCCGGGAGCCAGGGCUGGGAGGGCACGUCCCCAAACUUUCUCCCAGUAUUUAUUUACGCAGAGCAGCGAGCCACACGCACAGCCCUUCACGCAAGUCCAAGUCCGCAUGGAUGGACAAGGAGGCAGCUGCCCACACAGGGGACCUCAAGGAGCACAAUCUGGAAAGAGCUGAAGCAGGACGUGGCAUUCCUAUGGCCCUUACCAUCCUGAACAUCAGGCCAGCAUCUGCCACAUGCUGCCUUCUACAGGUCAUGGGCUCUGUUCGUCAGCUUCUCACAGUGUCCCCGGCCCGGGGGCCUGUGGACACCAGGCACUGCGGGCCAUGGCUUAGCCCUCCGUGCAGCCUCAGGACACCCAACUCAGCAGAAUUGCUGCUGUUUAAAAGAGGCUGGGAGCUGGAUUUGCUGGGUUCCAAUGGCCCCAGGGGCAUCUGGUUGCUGAAAUCACAAGAGGUUUGCCUUUCUGGCCUCAGAGACCUAAGGGAUCAAGGCUCAGCUUCAGGCAAGAGCAUCUCAUGCUUGAUUGCCAGAAUUCCUGGGCCCCAAUGUGGAUACGAUUUCAGGGCUUCUUUCCACUGCAGGCCUGAUCAGCAAAUGCUCCCAGCUGAGUGUUCAGGAACCUUCACCACAUUAACAAAGCCCAUGAUAGGUUGGCUUGUACACAUUGGGCCUCAAAUAUUUUUGCUGCAUAAACGAUCAAGUCAUUCAGGCAAACAGUAACCUCCAGGUCAGUUUCAAGGGCGCCAAAAAGGCUUCUUCCCCGACGUUUCACCUACCUGUCCUCCCUACAGUCCUUAGAGAGUCUGGUCUUGGGCAGGUGCCUGUUAACAUGCAAAUGUGUCCGAAGAUAAUACGGAAACUAUAGUCUCUGUGGUCUCCCAGCUCAAAUUAGUUUCUUAUCUCCCUUUCCCUGCGGUGGGAGGGGCUGUCAGGGAAUCGAGGGAGGGCGCAGAGGCCCUGUCUGCCCAGGUUAGUGUGGGAGGGUGCCCUGGAGAAACUUCAUUGACAUCCAGCUUUUCCCAAACAGGGGAACCAGUUCCUGGUGAUUAAGACAUUGGGGCCCGAGGGAAGUCCUGAGAGAGCAGAAGGUCACAGAGCACAGAGAAAGGAGCAAGGUGAGGACAUCCAAGGGACUGUCUGUGGUCUGGAGGUAAGCCUGGAUCAGACCAGACUGGAGCUCCAGGCUCAGGGCUCCCUUCCCUGUGCUACGGGUCACAGCUGCACACAGGCCGGGGCCAUUGUUUCCAGAUUUACUGAGGGACAAAGCUGGAUGCUGGCAACACGCAGUGGGGAGCUGACAGCUGAAUGGGGAGGACACCCAGCCAUUAGAUGGCUAUGAAGUCACGUACUUAUAACUAUGAGUUAUAUUAGGAAGAUAUGUGGGGUCUGGGAAGGCGAGGAACAAUCGGAAGGCCCCCACUGAGGGUAGGGAUCAGGGAUGCCUCUGGGCAGCGGAUGGAAGUGGAGAUCUCCUGUCAGGAUGGGGUCAGGGAGUGCUGGGGGCAGAGUGAGCAGAGCAAGGAGCUCAGGGGCUGGGGCCUGCCCUCUACUGGGUUAAGACAAGAGCAGGACCACAGGGGGCUUGGAGGCGUCUGCCGAGGAUCAGUUGGGAGCCACCGAGCAGUUUCAGUUUCGGCGGAACAUGACGUGAUCAGACUUGGAUUUUAUCAUGGUCAUUGGGGUGACGCCCACCUCAAAAAUCCCCACGCCUGGCUUACCUGGCUUACCGCUGAAGUUCAGGCCCCCCUAGCCCAAGAGAGCCCUGGGGGAGGCCAGCUUCCUUCUCUGCAAGCGGAUCAGUGGCCUUUGUGGAGAAACCACAGCUCAAACUUACUUUUAUUUCCCAAAGACCAGGAGACAUCGAAACCCACUCUUGGCCCUCAGCUUCAGGGAGUCUUUUUGGCUCCCGGAGGCACCCCCAUCUGGCCCUCUCUGAGCUGGACACCAGAGCACAGGGGCGUUUCUGGGCUGGCUGGCCCCUGACUUUGUGCCUGGGAGGCAGAAGGUACCAUUUUCCCUCGGGCCUCUGCACCUCUCUGAAAUCUUGGGAGAGCUACAGAGCCACCUUCCGACAGGGAUGGAGUGCUGGGGUCCGCAUGGUCCAGCUGCCGGGGCGGAAGGGUGCAGAGCCUGGGCCCCUCCUCCUUUACCAGGUGAGGGGUGCUGUCGAGCAGACAAAAUCAGCUGAGGCCCAUCCCCUCGUCAGGAAGCUGGGUUCUAGAUUUCCUGUGCCCCCCACCCCUCUGUGCUCUGUUGAUUUGGGUGUCUGUAUACAGGCUGGGGACGAUGUCUGUCUGCCUGUGUUUCUUUCUCUGAAAAACUUGUAAAAUAAAAAACCCACAUGGUGUCCAGGGUGGAGCCAUCUCUAAAGUGUCCUUUCUCCAGACUGUGGGCAAAUCACUUAACCUUUCUGGGCCUCAGUUUUCUUGUUGUAAAUUUCUCAUGACCCCAAAGUAUCUCAGAGUAGGAGCGUCAGGACACCCCAUCCUAGUCAGUGGCCAAUCGUGCAGUGUCCAGAAACCCAAGCGCAUUGAGAUCCUGGGCCUCCCCGAGUGACCCCACAGGGGUCACCUGGAGGGCCUCACACGGAUGCAGAGGAGUGGGCCCCAAACUUCUAAGGGGCAUCUGUGUUCCACAAAGCCCUAGAGCAGCUCAGGUCGUGACCUCAAACCCCAGGAAACAACCACCUAUCAAAAGGUGGUCAUGACCUGUGGUUUCUUUUUUUUUUUUAAUUUUUUUUUUCAACGUUUAUUUAUUUUUGGAACAGAGAGAGACAGAGCAUGAACGGGGGAGGGGCAGAGAGAGAGGGAGA